rnacentral:misc_RNA from 1 species
UUAAGUUCAGCGGGUAGUCCUACCUGAUUUGAGGUCAAAUUGUCAUGUAUUGUCUGAGACGGUUAGAAGCAGUGCUAAGCAGACCAUCCAUGCAUGGCGUAGAUAAUUAUCACACCAAUAGACGGUCCACAAAAGUUCCGCUAAUCCAUUUAAGGAGAGCCGACCUCAUUAAUGAAGCCCGCAACCCCCACAUCCAAGCC